GGAAAGGUACAAUCGAUGUGUCAAGGGUAAUCUGCAUCAAAAUCGAUUAGCUUUUGGUUAAGUAUCAAAAAAUUGAACUAAAAGAUUCUCUACCUCGGUUGGUGGAAUUAUUGGUGUUGCGGUUUCCGCAUGAAAUGUAGCUGAUUGUUGUAGAGAUUGUACUGGGGCGAUUUGCGUAGCCUGACAGAAAGAAGAGGUUAAUAUCAACAGAAUACUUAGAAGGAUGUGAAGUAUGCGCAGUUACCUGAACAGCUUCUACUAGCAGUGAUGCAGCA
rnacentral:lncRNA from 1 species